GACAGAGGGUGCAAACGUUGCUCGGAAUCACUGGGCGUAAAGGGCGUGUAGGCGGGAAGGAAAGUCAGAUGUGAAAUCCCUGGGCCCAACCCAGGAACUGCAUUUGAAACUCCCUUUCUUGAGUGUCGGAGAGGAAAGCGGAAUUCCUGGUGUAGAGGUGAAAUUCGUAGAUAUCAGGAGGAACACCGGUGGCGAAGGCGGCUUUCUGGACGACAACUGACGCUGAGACGCGAAAGCGUGGGGAGCGAACAGG
rnacentral:rRNA from 1 species